UUAGUUGGAAGUACAAGACGUAUUAAGAAAUACCAAUAUCAUGUUGCUAUGAUUGAUUAUUAGAGGAUGUUCCUAUCUGGCGGAGAGGUUGGCUUCUUGUCUUGCAUCUUCAAAAAGAGCCACAAGCACAAGGUGACAUGCUAACAGACAGCAAGUUUGGACAGUCUCAAGGGCAGAUCCAUCAGGUCAAGGCUCCCAAUUCAACAUGUCUCCAAUAUAAGAACCUUUUAAUAUAAUCACUUAGCAAUGAAAGCAUCCACUAUACAUUCACAUUUCUAAUACUUUUCUUUUACUGACAUCAAUGAUGAAAUGCCUGUAAACUCUAUGAAGGGGAUGGGCAUUUCUGAAAAA